GACGAACGCUGGCGGCGUGCUUAACACAUGCAAGUCGAACGGAAAGGCCCUGCUUUUGUGGGGUUCUCGAGUGGCGAACGGGUGAGUAACACGUGAGUAACCUGCCCUUGACUUUGGGAUAACUUCAGGAAACUGGGGCUAAUACCGGAUAGGAGCUCCUGCUGCAUGGUGGGGGUUGGUAAGUUUCGGCGGUUGGGGCUGGACUCGCGGCUUAUCAGCUUGUUGGUGGGGUAGUGGCUUACCAAGGCUUUGACGGGUAGCCGGCCUGAGAGGGUGACCGGCCACAAGGGUACUGAGAGACGGACCAGACGCCUACGGGAGGCAGCAGGGGGGAAUAUGGCAGAAUGGGCGGAAGUCUGAGGCAGCAACGUCGCGUGCGGGAUGACGGCUUACGGGUUGAAAACCGCUUUCGCAUGUGACGAAGCGGGAGUGACGGUAAUGGGUAAAGAAGCACCGGCUAACUACGUG
rnacentral:rRNA from 1 species